rnacentral:rRNA from 1 species
AUUGAACGCUGGCGGCAGGCCUAACACAUGCAAGUCGAACGAGUGGCGGACGGGUGAGUAAUGUAUGGGAAACUGCCCGAUGGAGGGGGAUAACGACUGGAAACGGUAGCUAAUACCGCAUACCAUCGGAUGUGCCCAGAGGGGAUGAGCUAGUAGGUGGGGUAAUGGCUCACCUAGGCGACGAUCCCUAGCUGGGCUGAGAGGAUGACCAGCCACACUGGGACUGAGACACGGUCCAGACUCCUACGGGAGGCAGCAGUGGGGAAUAUUGCACAAUGGGCGCAAGCCUGAUGCAGCAACGCCGCGUGUAUGAAGAAGGCUUUCGGGUUGUAAAGUACUUUCAGCGAGGAGGCGUUACUCGCAGAAGAAGCACCGGCUAACUCCGUGCCAGCAGCCGCGGUAAUAC